rnacentral:tRNA from 1 species
AAGGAGUUAGUUUAAAAAAUAAAACAUUAACUUGUCAAGUUAAAGAUACUUAUUAUAUAUUACUCUUUA